rnacentral:rRNA from 1 species
AGUGAACGCUGGCGGUAGGCCUAACACAUGCAAGUCGAACGGCAGCACAGUAAGAGCUUGCUCUUACGGGUGGCGAGUGGCGGACGCGUGAGGAAUACAUCGGAAUCUACUCUUUCGUGGGGGCUAACGUAGGGAAACGUACGCUAAUACCGCAUAUGACCUACUGGGGAAAGCCGGGGAUCUUCGGACCUUGCGCGAGUGAAUGAGCCGAUGUCGGAUUAGCUCGUUGGCGGGGUAAAGGCCCACCAAGGCGACGAUCCGUAGCUGGUCUGAGAGGAAGGUCGGACACACUGGAACUGAGACACAGUCCAGACUCCUACGGGAGGCAGCAGUGGGGAAUAUUGGAGAAUGGGCGCAUGCCUGAUCCAGCAAUACCGCGUGAGUGAAGAACGCCUUCGGGUUGGAAAGCCCUGAUGGUGGGAGAGAAAAACAGCACGUUAAUCCCCCACUGUAAUGACGGUACCCAAAGAAUAAGCACCGGCUAACUUCGUG